rnacentral:tRNA from 1 species
GCUGAGAUGGCAGAGCUCGGAUCUAUGCAAAAGACUUAAAUCCUUUAAACAGAGGUUCAAUUCCUCUUCUUAGUU